rnacentral:lncRNA from 1 species
CUUGAGAAUGCUUCAGGCACCUAGCUAUGGAAGAUAGAAUGGAAAUUGUAAUAACAAAAUUCUAACUCUAAUAGAAUAUUAACUAAACUCUAAUUAGACCAUAACAAUGUUAAGCAAGCUUUAAUCAAAUUCAAAGAAACUUCAAAGGAAUUACAAAGAAAUAAUAAGAAAUCUUAAAGAAAUAUUAGAAUGAUUACAAAUAUAUCUCAAAUACAUCUCAAUUCAAUCUUAAUUUAAUUCUAGUUAAAAUUCUAUUGGACUUCAUUCAAACUUUAGGCCAAAAUCUAACUAAAUCUUAAAUCCUAAAAAAAUCCUAAUUAAAUUAUAAAUCCUAUACCAAAUCCUAAUCAAAUCCUAAAUCAAAUCGUAAUCAAAUCUUAAACCCUAAAUAAAAUUCUAACCAAACCUUAAAGCCUAAACCAAAUUCUAAACCAAAUUUUAACCAAAUCUUAAAUCCUAAAUGAAACCUUAAACAGUAAACCAAAUCCUAACCAAAUCCUAACUCUAUAUCAAAUCCUAACCAAACCCUAGUAAUUUCUAUAAUAGAUUUAAAUCUCAAUAACUAAUGAAUGAACUAUUGAUCUUAACUCAAAUUUUGUAUACAUCUUAAAAACUUAAUUGAAAACAAGGACAAUUUUUUUGAAAAGGAUCGGAAUUACUAAAUAGAUGAUAACCUCAAAAACGUACUCAGGUAUUGACUGGCCUCCUUCUCUGAUCUUAAUACCAAUCUCCUAGAGCCAAUAUCUCUCCUUUUCAUUGUUCGAUUGAUUUCAAAAUUUUCAUACACAUAAGAAAACAAAUCUUAUAUUCUCUCACAUAAAUUUCACUCCAA